AGCAGCCGCCGCGGUAAUACGUAGGUGGCAAGCGUUAUCCGGAAUUAUUGGGCGUAAAGCGCGCGCAGGCGGUUUCUUAAGUCUGAUGUGAAAGCCCACGGCUCAACCGUGGAGGGUCAUUGGAAACUGGGGAACUUGAGUGCAGAAGAGAAAAGCGGAAUUCCACGUGUAGCGGUGAAAUGCGUAGAGAUGUGGAGGAACACCAGUGGCGAAGGCGGCUUUUUGGUCUGUAACUGACGCUGAGGCGCGAAAGCGUGGGGAGCAAACAGGAUUAGAUACCCCGGUAGUCCCUGUCUCUUAUAC
rnacentral:rRNA from 1 species